AGAAAGAGCACACAGUAAUCAAAGCUCUUGCGUGUACAUAGGAAAAAAACCACUGAAAGUUGAAGCAAGAAAGUGCUAAUAGCAAUCAUCUCUGGGUCUGGAUUUUACUUUAAUACAUUAGAAUGCUAUAAAUAGGGCUCGAGAGCUGGCUUGGCUGUUAAGGGCUAGGCUCACAACCAAAUAUAGACUGCUGCGAGCCGGUUAUAAGUGAUAAAUUUUAAUAUCAGAAAAUGUAAUCGACGUCUAUGACUCUUAAAGUGGCAAUUAAGUCACAAUGCCUGGACGGUAUUUAUGAGCAAUACAAAAUAAGCUAGAUUACAGUUGGUAUCCACGCCUCGCAUGACACUGAAAACGUGAAGUGCGCAUCUCAGAGCCAGAGAGCAGCGGGCUUUUUCAGUCUGGCAGCAGGCAAAUUUCAUGCUUGUGCACACACAAAUGCCAGAAUAAGGCAGACACACUUCAACCUCAGGUCUAGUCAAGGGAGGGCAAGGAGAAGGUAGACUUUCCUCAGAUGCUAAGGACACUGUGCUUGAUAAGAGGGUGGGGAAGGACAAGAAUUACUUUAGGACAGCUAAACAGUGGUGGCACAUGCCUUUAAUCCCAGCACUUAGGAGGCAGAGGCAGGUGGAUCUCUGGGUUCAAAGACAGCCUGGUGUACAGAGUGAGUACUAGGAUUACAGGGCUACACAGAGAAACCCUAUCUCAAAAAAACAUUAAUUCCAUUGCUAUACAAAUAUAGUAAGAUUCCUAAAUUAUUGUUCAUUUUUUGUCUUUCGUAAAGAGUAAAAGCCCAUUUAAGAUUUCUAAAUUAUUGUUUACCUUUUUCAGUCUUUUGUAUAGAGUGAAUACCCAUUUAAAGCUACAAGUUACUGAGUGAAGUGUUUAGAAAAAAGUAACAUGGGCUGGAGAGAUGGCUCAGUGGUUAAGAACAAUGGGUAUUCUUCCAGAGGUUCUGAGUUCAAAUCCCAGCAACCACAUGGUGGCUCACAACCACCUAUAAUGAGAUCUGAUGCCCUCUUCUGGUGUGUCUGAAGACAGCUACAGCAUACUUACAUAUAAUAAAUAAAUUUUUUAUAAAAAGAAAAAGAAUAAGGUAACAUGGCAACUAUUCAGGAAAAGUCAACUUCAAAGGAAAACAUUGACAUUUUGUUAAGAACCAAUGAUCUACAACCCUGUUAUUUUCAGUGGGUCCCAAGUUAAUAUGGGUCUGAGUUUAAGGGGGAAACAUAUGCACGUUACAGCAUGUUUUCCUAUGUCCUGUCUAGUUUUUGAAAUGCUUAGUAUGAAGAGGCUGUUUUCAAAACAUUGAAAGUCUCAGAGAGAGGCUUCAGUUGUCCGAUGGCGUACCGAAAGCAUAUUGCCAGAGAGGGCAUAAAGCCCUUUGUGGCCGAGCUCUAUUUGCUCUGGUCCCGUGGGCACAGCGAGGAUUCCCCGUGGAAAGGAACAGUACAGCUGGUGUCAUAGCGAAAGAUGCAGAGAAGAAAGGAUAGAUUCAGGUCUGCCCUUCGCAGACACGGUGGCCUCAGACUUCCAGGCACAGCAACAAUGACUGUGGCUUCUACAGAGGGUGCGCCUUGGGCUUGUCACAUCUGCAGUGGGAACUGUGGCUCCUGCAGAGGGCGCAGAUGUACGGCCCGGGGUUGUUCUAUCUGCAGUGUAUAUGUGGACAGGGUGGGGAUGGAUGUGAGAGGGAAGAGGGCCAUGCCUUCUCCACAGGCCAAGGUGACUCAUGUGUGCCCUGGGGGUGGACAAACCAUUCACCUUAUCAGCCAUCCUGGCGCAGGCCUCCGGGCUGGCCUCUUACAACACCAAGUACUGAGAAACCCCGGCGACUUGUGCAAUGCCUGGUUAGGAAAGCGCGUCUAAUCUCAGUUGUACUAUCAGUGUGAUUAUGGGAAGUAUUUUUAAUCACCACAGAGGAAAUAAAGAAGGCUUGCCUCACUUCCAUCGGCGGCACACGGGCUUGCUUGUCCCAGGCUAAAAUACCUGGAGGAAUGUGGACGGUCAGAAGCUAAAAUAAAAAUGACAGCCUGGGGCUCCACUUACAGCACACACCCCAGCAGCACGGCCCAGUGGCCCCAAGAAGAGGAAGGGGCCCUGUGUGGAAGACCCACAAUGCUUCAGUCUCCACUGGGCCGGGCUGUGGGCAGGGGUGAACAGCACUGAUCACAUAGAAUGUACAUUCCCAGAGAGCCUCCACUCUGGUGGGAGCUAACUCUGUCAGCCAUCAAAGAAAGUAGAAGGGAAGAAAAGUUGAGGACUCCAGGUUUAAAAAAAAAAAAGAUUUCAAAGCAACUCCUUCAAAGGCCUUUUUAUAUUUAUUUUAAGGAGACAUUUGAAUUUAAGUGACACUGUCAAUCACUUCUUUUUUCAAAUAUGACAAUGCUUUUCUACCCUAUCUUCUUCUCGUGGCUUGACGGAAAUGAAGGGGAAGUUAUUUUCUUCACACAUGGGGUGGGAAAUCAUAGAAAGAACAAACUUGGUAAGGGUAACCUAUCUGAAUGCUUUACUUUCUCCGUUCUUUUUAAUGUGGCUGUUUUCUAUUUGCUUACUAUUGUGGUGGACGUGUCGUGAUCAAAUAAACUUUAAGUAGAGAAUAUACAAUUUUCUAAAACCGUCGGCUGGAAAGAAAAUCCCGGAGUAGCAGAAAGAAUAACAAAGAGAUGGAUAUGCCAAAUGACACCCUCCCUUCCUCAGACUCCAUUAAGCCAGGAUGUAAAUUACGAUUCUACCUGUGAUGUUCUAAAUAUCAAUCUUGGUGACACUAUCCUGUAUCUAUUUUAAUAUUUAAUGUUUUAAAAUGGAACUAAGAAUACCUAACGUAUGAGCACCCCACACAUCUUACAGACUCUCAGAUUUCUUUUUUGUUUUUUUGUUUUUUUUUUUUUAUGAAAUGUAAAAUCAAAGGAUACAGGUCUACAGUGCCGUCCCCUUUACCAGCUUCUAGGGCAGUGAGCUGGGAUCACAUCCAAGAGGCUGGCCGUCUGGGCAGUAAAGGUAUAUGAGGGUGGGGGGGGACUGUUAGGUGGCCCUUGGAGAGAAGCCCAUUAUACCUGUGGGGGUCCUGAUAUUGGGGUAAUCUAACCCUUGUUACUGAGUGAAUAACCUGUGGCGGGAGGGAGGUUUAGAAUAGAUGCCUCUUACCGAAGCAAUUAAGACCAUUCAGGAAACAGAGAAAAUGGGCAAUCAGGCUCUCCCUCCCAGAGAGCGCUUGCUGGUGCUCAAUCAGUUCUGAGACAGACAGCUCCCAGUACGUGAGGUGUGGCGUUUGCUACUUAAAACACUCUGAAGGGAUGCUGGGGCUCGGCUCACGGAGCCUUCAAAUCUCUUAUGCAUCCAUGUUCAAAGCAUUCAGGGCUGUCACCCAGCCCUGUGUGAUGUCCCUGAACACCUGAGGGCCAAACACAGUGUUACUCAAGGAUGAGAAGCAAUGCUAAUCAGAGUUGCCCUGCCCAGAAGUAAAAAUAUGACUUCAGAUUCCUCCACGGCAGCACUUAAUAAAGAAGGCCGACAUGGAAGUGGGAGAGCCCUAAAAAUUACUUCAGUGCCUCUUCGACUUGAACAAUACGAAGAGACAUCGGCAGGACAGGCUGUUCUAGAACAGUUGCUUGUCCAACGUGGUCCCGAAUUGGCACAGCUACACACUUGUCACAUAGAAUUACUUAUGUGAUGCCAUCCCGAGGCCUUGAGGGCAGCCAACGUAACGCCUUAAUUUUUUUUCUCUUUUUCCCCCUUCAUCCUCAGGAUUGAACCUAGAGCCUAGCGCAGGCUAACUGAACAAUACCCUUUCACUGAGACACAUCCUUUCCCUGUUGUAAUGGAGCCUUACGAAGUCCCCCCAAGCUUGCUUCAAACGCACUGUGUAGUCACAACAGACCUUGAACUUGAGAUCUUCCUGCUUCAGCCUCCGGAUGGCUGGGAUUUCAGGCCUAAACUGGUAGCGUGAGGCUAAGGCAUUCGAAUGGCCACAUAAGCUGGGUCUGAAGGGAAGAACAUUCUCGACUACGUGAAAAGGAGCAAAAGGUGGCCAUCUGCUCUACUAGGGAAGCCUCCACGGACCACGUCUCCGCAAUGCAAUACCGUCUUCGGAGCCAUGCAACUUGUUAAAAAGCCGCCGACGGGAAAUAAAAAGUGUCACCGUAUUGGUGACAUCUAAAAGGCGAGGACAGUCAAACCUGCAUCCUAAAGCCCUGCCUAGACCUCAGCUAUUGGAGGAAAUUACACACCGAACCUCCAACUGACUGUAAGACAUAAUCAGGGCUGGGCACACGGCCCUGUGUUGGUUCAGUACUAUUGGCUGUAAGCCAGCUGUGAACAGAGCUAGAGGCCACAUUUUCAAAACGAAAAAAACCCACGUGCAGUACGUUCUGACGAUUUAUAUGUUCGGUACACUAGGUUUGAAAUUGUCUUUCUACCGAUUUGAUUAAAAAGAAGUCACCUGGAGGAGUGUAUUCAUGGGAGGACUGUGGAAGCAAGGCGGAGGCUGAGGGAGCAUGGAGGCGUUCGCAGAGAGCCCGGGACCCGCUUUGAAGCAAGCCCCUCUGCUUUCACACCCGGCAUCCAUUCAUUACCUAAGGGUGGUGAUCUGUUUCUUUCUCCUGGUGCCCUUAGAGAACGAUGAGGCUCCUAGAUGGUUAAUUACUUCAGGCCAGGGUCAAAAACCCGCGGAGGGAAAGGCACACGGAAGGCCCUCCCGUAGCUUGAGCUCCUCAAUCUCCUGGCAUCAGACAGUAAUUUUCAAUGGGACACAAGUGCAAAGGAGUUUUGCUGGAAAGGAGGGCUUUGAUGGCUUUGCAAUCAACUCGGCUUCAGCAGGCCUUCUGCACAGACUGCAAGCAAGUCAGACUCCGAAAACCAUUAGUCCCCCCAGCAAGACGCUGUCCCUUGCCUUCUAACGCUCUAGUGGGAAUUAUUUCUAUGAACCAGGAGAAAAUUUGUCUGUAGCCGUUUCACCACGGAGGAAAUGGCACUCCUGAAAUCCUGGGCAUUACCGUUUUGUUUCUAAUUGAAAUCCAGCAUCAAAUAAACUUGCAAUCAAGAGAGAAGAGAGAGAGAGAGAGAGAGAGAGAGAGAGAGAGAGAAAGAAAGAGAGAGAGAGAGAACGAACCUUUGGGGUUAAAAAAACCCGAGGUUUUAGUAGAUUUCACUACCCAGAGAGACUGGACUGUUUCCCAUUUCCAUUUAGCUGUACCAAAAGUGGUCACUCUUUUUUUUUUUUCCUAUACUGAAAUGGAAAGUAGAAAAGGUGCCUCUCCCUUUGCCUGCCGUGUCGAAAAAGCUAGUAGCCAACAGCCUUAAAAGAUAAUACGAUUUGUAGAGGCCGUGCUCUUAGCACUGCCCGGCUGCGCCGCUCGUCUUUGGGAAUCAAUCCGGCCAUCUUUAGCACACGUGCUUGGGCGCCGACAAAUGAUGUAUUCCAUCUCUGAAUCCAUGAGCAGAGAGGAGCCCGGCUGAUAAACAGCCACGAGUGGAAAAUGUAUGCACCUUUCAUAAGCGAGACAAAUCACUCCUUCUCCCCAAACGCUUCCAACAGGAACGCUAAUUUUGUAUUUAUUUGCACAGCAUAUGUACUGUGUCCAAAGCAGUGCAUUAAAAAGGAUCUCAGGCGGCUCUGAUUCCAUCUAGUCACCGCUGUCUUACGAGGUCUCAAAGGCAAGCAGUAAAACAGGAAGCCGGAGAGGGCGGAAACACCUCAUCAAAUGGUUCUCAGGUUGGGUUUUUUUUUUUUUUCCUGAGGCCCAUCUUUCUCCUCCUGCUCUGAAGUGAGAUUUUAAAAAACCGAAAUACUGUGACUGAGGCCAUGCAUCUUAAAUCUACCACACGCCUUUCCUGUCACCGAGCAGUUAUUUUUAUUAAUAACUCCGAGAACAUAUUGUGGAAUUCUUUUUGUUUUGAGAUCCGGUCAUGUGAUGGCUUCCAUGGCAGGGAACACUGGGUAAAUUGUAAUGUUCUAAGAUGCUAAUGAAUGGACCCUUGUAGGGCCCAUUUAGUGAUGAAUUGGUAUUUGCUGAGGCCUAAGCAAGCACAGGGCACGACACAUAUUCCAUCCUCUGUUGAGCUCCGCCAUGAUGGGUGAGGAGCUUAAAGGACUCCCAGGAAAGAGCACAAGCUGGUAAGCAAGCAGCAAGCAGACUGUUUUAAUCAAGCCACAGAAGGAGUGGCUUUGUGUGUUACUUCCUAGAGCUCCAUCCUCCGAGUGUGCACAGAGCUCACGGACAUACUGCAUCCAGAGCCUGGCUGAGCAUCAGACUGCGGUGGUAAAAGCAGGAGAUAUAACUCACUCCAGGCCCCAGAGGACGGUUUCUGAGGCAAGACAGAGCUGGAGACACAAGCUCCACCUCCUGGGAUACAACGCAGACCACACCCCCACCCCGAGCCAUGACACGAGUGUUCUGAUGUCACACAGGACCCUCCAAGGCUUCUGGCAUUGAUGCUGUCCUGGAUACUGGUUUUAAGCGUAAGCCUGUGUCACAGCAAUACGCUCACAUUGUUCAAGAGCAUAGAAGUCCGCCUUGCCAGACUGGCUGCAGGCUGGGCAGUCAAAGACCUGACUAGCAAGUUACCCUCGGCAAGGCCGUUGUGGUUGCGUCAGCUGCGAAGCAUUAGGGACGACAUUAAGUGGAUUGUGCGUUUCUGUUAAGUCUCCUGUAACAGGCAUUAAAAAGAACAUUUUUUUUUGCUUCUACGACGAUAUAUAUUAAUUGUGAAUGUCUACAAGGGUAGAUUUGGUGAGACUGUCUAAUGGUGCUUCCUUUUUCCCCAGAAAUCUUAUGAUACUAAAACUUAAGAUCUAGGCAUCUCAGUUCUCAGGGAAACGAGGGAGGAGGAUGGAAAAGUUCAAAGACAGCUUGACCUGCCUAGAGAGCUCCAGGUUAGUCAGGGCCUCAUAGAUAGAUACUGCCUUAAGAUAGAUAAUGCCUUAAAAAAAUGCGUGUGUGUGUGUGUGUGUGUGUGUGUGUGUCACAAGAUAGCAAAAACCAAUCAAACAUGCAAGUUUGGUAAAAAGAAAACCCAAACAAACAAACUUGAUAAAAUCACAACUGAAAAACCAGUGCACUGGACUUAACUGUAAUCUAGAUUUUACGACAGCAUCCCUCAUGCUCCAAAACCAACUUUCAAUUUCAGAAAAGGUAGCUUUCUCUCUGUAGAGUAAGCUCCCAGUUCCUUAGAAGAUCUAUAUAAAACCCUGUAAUGGUUAUCUUAGCUAAAGAUGACUGGGAAGAACAAACUUCAUUUAGAAGAGACUUUGAAGAAAGCCACAACAAUCGAAGAAGCCUUCAUUUCUCAACACGGGAAAUGAGCUCGAGAGAAAUAGCCCGCUACCCAGGAGCAUGGAGUCAGCAGCUGACAGUACAUCCAAACUGAAAACUCAGAAUUCGGGUAAUUAUUUAAUUGAGAUGGACUAAGAGAAAACAAGCUAGUUCUUAAAAGUCAAUGUUGAGAACAGACAUAAAUUUUAUGAAAUGAAUGGAUGCUAUAAGUAGUAUUCUCGAAUUUCAGCUUUACGGAGAAAUUAGAUAUCUAUAUACUACUACUACUACUACUACUACUAUUUUUGAACAUCUUAAAUUACACAUGUAUUUAUUUGUGUGUGUUGUGUGUGUGUGUGUCUAUGACACACAAGUGCCAUGGUAGUUGGUUCUCUCCUUUCACAACGUGGAUCCCCUGGGAUUGGUGGUAAGGGCUUCCACCCAGUAGCCAUCUUGCCAGCCCCUGGUGCUAUUAUUAAUGAAUAUAUUUCCCAUUGGAAUUCUGUCUCACAAUUGAAGUGGUAAUUACAUUUGGAAUGAUAACAACUGAAAAUAAAGGGAUGUUGUGCACACAUCUUAAGAUUAUUUUUACUACGAGGAUCAAGUGGUCAGGUUGAAACCCGGGGAAUGCUUGGCUUGGGUUCCUAUUAUACCAUAAAGCUAAGGACACGUGAAGAAGGCAGAGCUGAGCCGCACAGCUGACCCGGGCAGUGAGCAGACAUGUCUAGUAGAGGCGAAGAGACCGGGGCUGAGUAUCUACUGAAGCAGACUCAAGCCUUUGCUUGAGGCCCGGGUGUAUAUAGCGUGAGCCCAGCCAGCUUCCUCAUCUACAGGAAGCCGUCCGUCAGGCUUGUGCUGCUGUGUGGACAAUGCUGGUAGGACUGGUAUUCCACCAGGUCAGCUGCAACCAGUGGAAUCCAGAACAAGCCUUGUCAAGUGAAAGUCUCCUGGAGAACUUAUUCUGGAGGCAAUGACGGUCCCCAAGUCCUUUUUUGUCACAGUACAACUGCAGAGUUCACACGGGGAGGGUGACAACAUCCACCUGUUUGCACACUUCGCCGUUGCUCUUGAACACACAUAUUUUACUUGCUGAUUAUUUUUUUACGUUCAAGCUUGAGGGAAGCAAACAAUUAACCUGAAGUUUGCCCACAAACUCAUUUCCUAAACUAGAGCUCGUGACACACCUUGGAGUACUGUUCCUACAAACAACAGUAAGUAACCCUGAGUAUGCAUGAAGGCCACGACAGGAAUUUCGCUUCCCUUCCUGAUCAACAGUUAACACUGACCGAAAAUACUCGGACGUUUAAAAAAAUGGAGGUGCCUCACUGAUCUUAAUCUUCUUGGUAACCAAUGAAGAAAAAAUGGCUGUCGCAUACCCUAACUUACGUAGAACAAGUGAGAUGUUCACGUUUUAAAGAGGGAAAGGCUGUUAAAUUUUACGAAGUUGAAAGCUUCACCACUAAUGGCCCACACUUGCAGCCGAAAGUGGACUUUUAUGACAAUCAUCCUUUCAAUUCAGUUUUUACACAGACUUGGAUCUUUCAGAAUGUUGUCACAUAUAUGUAUAAACUGAUUAAUUUUUUUUACCCCUUAAAGCUUUGGCUUCCAGUGGAGUUAUGCAAUUCUGGCCGCUCACUAUAACCUAUAACGGGACAUGAGGUGACAAUGUUCCUACUCUCUCCGCAAACCGAAGUUUCGAGCCUUCUGCACACUUGCUUUACGGUAAAGGAGAGAAGCAUCGGUGAGGGGAAAGGGUUGCAUCAUGAACUAUGACUCGGAGAAUAAGACACCCACCUACUAACACUAACCGAGAACAGACUUUGUGCUCUUCCUUGUUCUCAGUGUGGACCAACCUGUUUGGUUCUUAAGCGUUCCUGAGAGAAGGGUUAUUCCAUUAAACGGGCAAACAAACGAUCACAGGAGAGAAGGAAGCUGGGGGAGACGGACUCAGCUCUGACUCCAGGAUCUUAGGUCUCUAUCUUUCUCAAUGGCCCAUCAAUAAGCCAUAGUUGGCAUCUGCCUAGAGCAAAGUACCGUCACAAAUGUAACUGGACUGAUAUAUAAAGUGACUAUAAUUUAUACAGCAUCAGACAGAGCCUGCUGAUUGGAACAGGAUACACCUUAUCAGGGUCUGAAGGUUUUAUUUAUUUAGUCUUUUAAAGUCUACAGGAGAAUGUUUUGACGUUUCUCGAUGUCUACAUCCAUGUGUGGCACAGUGAAGUGGGAAAUAGUCCCCAAGUCCUGCAAGGGAAUCCCUGGGUCAAGGCUCUGCCGUCUUGAAGGACUUUUAUCAGCCAUCCAACAUGGAGACAACAUGAGUUUACCUGUGAGAGCUAGUUUGGGUAAAUGAGACGGCAGUUCAUAAAUUGCUAAAGAACAGAUAAAGGCGAGGUGUGAUCUUAUUGUUUUGGACUUCUCUAAGGUAUUGAUGGAGAUAUAAAUUCCCUUCCAGAGGUUUAGCCCUGACACGAGGCCAUGCUGUGAGAGUGUGAUGGGGAGAGAGAAAGAAUGCCACUGAUCCAACUCAACUGAACACCCGGAACUUAAGGCAUUUGCUGGGUUGCCCUAGGGACCUUAUUAAAUCACAGGUUGUUAGCACAACCAUGCUAACAACUGGGCACGUCCUAAAUGUCUGCUGUGCAGUAGCCAGAGACCCUGCACAGACUGGGAAGUGAUAGGGAAGAGGGGAUAUGAAACUGGGGGAUGCUGGGAGGCAGGAAGUUCUCUUCCUCCCCACUGCCAUCUGUUUCCGCUUGCCCUGCUUGGUGAGAAGGUGAAGCCACAGUACCCUAGGGUAAAUAAGCCUACUCACUAGAUUCUUGUCUAGUGAUGUCAUUACGUUUCCAGAAGUGAGGUUGUUUAUACAUCGGAAGGCCUUAACCUUGAACAAACAUAUGCUUGAUCUAAAACAUCAUGCCCUCUCCCAACAGACAUUGUAUUUUUUUUAAUGGUCAUUGUUAUUGACGUUAAUGUAUCCAAUGGGAGUUCUAUAGAAGUUACUAAACGGAUAAUAGGGAUGGCUGACGUGUCUGUAAUCUGACAUUUGUGGUUUCCGUCGAUACAGCAUCACAUGCCAUACCUGGGGUCAGAUCAGAUUUUUGAUGACCUGAGUUCUCUUCUCAGUAGAUUCUAUUACCCAGGGCCUGGGGCCGCUUUGCAUCUCUACUGGAACUUGUCACAAGUGGUGACGUUUCCGAAGGAAGAAGUAAAGGAGGGGAAAGGAUAAUUCCUUUUAUGGUUUCCUUUCAUGACUGAAGCAUAUUGAGUACUGAAACUUCGUCUCAAUGAGGUAUAAUCACCUUGACAUAGUCAUUUAUCAGGAGUCAGUGGACAUGGACACCACACCAACCAAGGUCUUCCACACCUCAUCCUACUGUCUGUGUGUGCACAGCUUUUAAAAAAUUACUUUUUGACUUCACAUAUGAGUAUGUCGGCUGUUCAUUCUUUAUAAAAGGAAAUUAACAGAGUUCUGAAAUGAUUCCUUUCGGAAGCCAAAUGCUUUCCUUCCUAAAACUAUAUGUAUUUUUUUUUAAAGUUUCUUUUGUAGCUGGGCAAACUGCAAUUGAUGUCCAGAAAGUUAGCAGAUCACCCAAUGGCAUUUCAGCAACAUAAUUUGAAUGGUAGUGACAAUAACCAUUCAUUUAACGGGACAUUGUUUCUCAUAAAAUAUUUGAAGGCUAACAAAUUAAAAGGAGUGGGAAAUUAAUUGCUCCGGAGUAUAAACAGAUGUAUAUGAAAAGCACAUGACUUUGUCAUCGGAAGAAAGCUGAUUAAGGCUUUAAGGAGCUUUUGAAAGAGUCCUCCCAUUCCCAAUGUUCCAAUUCAGUCUUGUGCCUCAGAUAAAGGAGGUGUUACCACCGGUCAUUUUUCUGUGCCAUGGAAAUAGGGACAAUUAAUAUUUACAUAAUACAUGCAAGGUCCUAAUAAAGCAAAACCAUGCUAACAAGUAAGUUAGGCUCAUAGAAACAUUAAGUCAAAGGGAAAGGAAACAAUGAUACUAUUUCAGGGAGAAAGGAAUGUAAAGAAAGUACUAGGCAGGGAAAGGGAAAUAUUAAUAAGAUACAGAGGGUCUCUAUUGAGUCCUUUAAUUACGCCUACAAAUUACUAUGCGCCAAAUACUAUGUGGUCAAUCUUCUCCGCACCAACUAUUCUAUGAGUUGGGCACUAUAAUUAAUUACAUAUUUGCCCACAGGAAGACCGUGUCUCCGUUUUUUACCCAAGGUUACCGUGCAAAGAAUACCAGAGCCAAGCCUCAGAUGCUCACCCUGCAUGCCUCCGGAAGGGCAUAUGCUCUUAGAUCCGGCAACAGCAUCUUCUCUGGGCCAGGUCUAGAGGUCACCUGGCAGCUGUGCACCUCCCCAGCUGCUCCCUGAACAACUUAGAAAUGUUUAGCUCAAUCUGGACUUGCGCCUUAGCAGUGCCCCUCAUCCUGGGUCCUGGCGGGGGUCCUUCACCUCUAGCUCCACACGGGGCUCUUUGUUUAACAUAUCCCACAGAGACAGACACAGAGAGCAGAGCUUUAAAAAUAACAGGUCUUGGCAAACUCCUGGCUUAUUAGCCCACACACCAGUUCACAGAUGACUGGAAUUCUCAAAUCAGAUUACCUGACAGGCAAUUUCAUUAUCUUGCUCUGGUACACCUUCAAAACCUUGAGAUAGCCAGAUAGACAUCACCCAUUAAUCUGUUUGGUCGCCUGUGUGCAGCUUCUGUAAUCCUAUUUGUGCAACUACGAGUGCUCGGUAUUUACUUAAUAUUUUCAGUUCUAUUUUUUAAUAUGCUGUUUUGUGAAUUAUAGAAGUGCCAUGGUCAUUUAAAUAUAUAUAUGUAUAUAUGUAUAUAUUCAUACACAUGUAUAAUUUUAUUACAUUACUGGACAACAAAUAAGACUUAAAAGCCAUUAACUUGAGAUUUAUACCCCUUAAUUUCUUGUAGGUCAUCUAAAACCGAGUAUUAUACACUAUGUCAUAUAAAGUAAAUGCUGACCACAACCUGCGUUUAAUUACCCCGUAAGAGAAAAAAAGGAAUGCUAAGAAUGGAUAAUGCCUUUGAGUUAAACGUACGAUGCACACAUUCUUCUGUAAUAGGAGUUUAAUCUGAUUUUGCUGUAACUAUUCAUUUGGUCUCAAGCGGAAUUUAAUGGAAAAGAACUUUGUAAGAUUAAAAAAAAUGAAAAAACUUAGCGCAAAGCUCCAUUUACAGAACAUGGUUAAAAAUGGGUGUUCCUUCUAUUUCUUUCUCCUCCUCCAUUUGGAAGCCUGGGCAAGAAAGAAGAGCUUCUCUUGGGAGUACAAACCCAAAACCUCUAUCUGGCUUCUAGGCAGUCCUGCUCAUGACCCAGGCAGUGACCAGGCAAGAGGAUCAGGCACUGGAGGCAAAUUGUUCUCCCUCCCUGCAGCUACACUCCCCUUCUCCAUAUAGAACAUUCUCUUGCUAGUCCCCUACACCAACCACUGCCUUCUGGUCAGAUGCCAAAACCUUUGCCUUUGCGGGUCCACUUGCACCCUGAACUGUAUUUGUGGAUAAUCUCAUAGCUCUGUCAAGACUGGCAGGUUCUGUCACGCACAGUAUCUACUUUGGGCUCUGGUCAGCUCUCUACCCAUUGAGCCAUCUCUCCAGAUCCCUUUGCCUCUUUAUAGCCUUUCCUUUCCCUAAUAUAGCCCAGGCUAGACUUAAUCUUGCUACUUGGCUGAGGAUGAGCUAGAAUUCCCCAUUCUCCUGCCUCAGACUCAGAAGUGUCGGGAUCACAAGUGUAUCACUAUGAUUGGUUACUUCCAGCACACUGAAUUAUCCAUUAUGUGAGAACUAUAAGGUUGGACCAUGGAAAGAAAUUAAUUGACAUUAUUUGAGCCAAACUGUCCAAGUUCCUGUCUUAACUCUUUCUACAUACCCCUAUAUACCCUGUAUUACUGUUAGCACACCUAUCUUUUGUGUCCUUUUGUACAAGGACUUCCUUAUAGCCCAUGUCCCUAACUGAGCUAUAGAUCCCAAAAGAGCAGUGGCCAUGCCUGUGAUGCCACAUCUCGUUCCUCAUCUCCAGCACUGUGAAUGGUACAUGGUUAAUAAUAGUUAAUAGCUCAGUUAAUAAUAGUUAAGUAAAAAAGGAUGAUGGAAGAAAGAAAAUGAAGGGCAGGCAGAAGGGAUGAUGGAAAAAAAAAUGAAGGACAGGCAGAAAGGAUGAUGGGAGAAAGAGGCAGGGCAGACGGCAAGCCGAUCCUGGCAUGGAGAACCAUAAUAGGUACCUCAAGCCCAGGCUGUUCCACAGCCUGUGUUGAAGUUGACAGAAAAUCAUAGGCUGUGGUGCUUCAGACAAAGCAAAAAAAGGUAUUUUCUUAUUGUUUCAUUAGUGAUUAUUAAUUAGAGAUAACGGGUUUUGUGUUGACAUUUUCAUGAAUGUAUAUCUUUAUUAUAUCUACUUUAAUUAUAUCUACCCCUCAUUUGACUUCCCUCAAUCCCUUCUCCCUCCUUCUACUCCCUUUUUCAAGUAAUUCCCUCUCUGCUUUCCCCGCAUCCCUCGAUCCCCCCCAUGGGUUGUACAUACACAGGAAAAUGAGUUACACUUGAGCCACUCUUGCUUCGACACGUCUAUAUACUGGGGUCUGCCGACUGGCAUCAGAAGGGCAUGUAGUCCAGGUUACUGGGGCAUUCUAAUUCUGCUGACACUCCUGAGUGUGGAGCUGUCUUACAAGGGGAUUUUUAAAAGGAGUUCUUCCCAUUUAGUAAGUUAAACGUGAUUCUGUCCCAUGACCACAGGGAUAUUUGACCCUUUCCAGGGUUUCUUGAAAGACACAUUGCUCCAGUGUACAAAGUUCUGCCGCGUCUGCCUCCAGAAUUGCUUUCCCGUUUCAAUAAUCACUCUUCAACCCCUCGCAGUGACUGAGCCGAAUAUGGUGGGGGUCAACGGCAUGGAUUUGAACAGUAAGUUCAGAUGAUCUUUUUUAAAAAAGAGCCAAGCAAAGUUCAAUCAUAUGGUAGAAUCUAUCCUACGGUGCGGUGGGGAUGGUUAGUGGGCUAAAUAUAAGAACUCUGGAUAAUGGCUGUCGCACAGCUAACACACAUAUUUGUUGCUGUUGCUAUUCUGAAAUAAGAAAAGAAUCUGAACCCCAAAGAUCUUGAGCGACUUGUCCGGCUAACACGAGCCUGGAGUUUCAUUUCUAUCCCGAUUUCAGCAUGCCACACAGAUGACGCUGUCGAGAAUGCAGCUGGCCUCCCCCCCACCCCAUGCACCCCCUUUUCUUUCCACAUUACACUGAAUAAUAAUUUCCUGGCUUUCAAGAAAUAGUAAUUUUUAAGUGCUUACUACCUGAUUAUAUUCAUUAAAGAUUUCCAAAAUAGUCCCUGGUCUAGCGAAGUAGAAAUCACACUAUGAUUACGUUAUUAUAGAACUGGGGGAGGAGGGAAGGAAUAUAUUUCUCUUCCAAAACUUCUUGAGAGUCAAUAUAAUUCUCAUUAUACUCUCCCCGCUAUUUUAUUAUCCCUUCCUUUAUUAGGGGUUUAGAUUUGAAGCAGUUCUAAGAAAAAGGAUAGGAAUAGAAAGAGACUUAAAUUGCUCUUUGUCCAUAUUAAGGCCAAAGCUUUGGCAGAUAAAGGCAAAAGGGAAGGUCAGAUGCUGUGACCUAAUUAUGUCCGGACUUACUUUCUUAUCCUUUUAUUUAAUGAGAACCAUCCAAUUUAGACUGGCUCAGUAAUUAUGUAACAAUAAAAGCCAUAUAUGUUUAAACAUGUAGCUUUCCUGCAGUGUAUUCACUUUCUAAAAAGGGAAUAUGAAUGAAGCGAAAAGGAAAAAAAAAAUCUGAAUUUGAAAGGGACAAAGGAGUAAUGGCUUCUCUGAAGCGGCCAUUGUGUUUCUCCUUCUUAUAUAUGGUCUGCUACUUUCAUGUUUAAGGAAAAUGCUAGAGCCAUAAAUGAGGUGAACUUCCCAGCUAAGACGGGCAGUUAAGAUAACCAAAUUGUAGGAGAUGCUCUGAUGUCUGUUCGGAGGAGUACACACACAUACACACAGAAGAAGGGUCUGGAAAUCAGGAGGAUUUCAAAUGACCUUGGCAGGAGCCAAAUAUCCCAACUGCUGUGCCCUUCCCCUCAGCCCAGUGGCACAUGUUCAAGCACUCCUCUCCUUUCUUCCCGCCCAGCUUCAUCCUACUUCCGGCCCAGCUUCAUCCCACUUCCGGCCCAGCUUCAUCCCACUUCCGGCCCAGCUUCAUCCCACUUCCGGCCUAGCUUCCUCUCACUUCCUCCGCAGCCAUCUCUCACUGUAAUUAUGUCUAUUCUCUGAUCAUCCACUGUGACCCUUCUCUUCCUACUCUUUAACUCUUUCAUAAAUGUCUGCCUCACUAAAAACAAAAACAGCCCCAAACACCCCGAAAGAUAUAUUUCUUAAGGAUAAGAAAUUUGUCACCCGUUGAGAACCAGGAUAGUAGUGGCCUCACGUGAGCAUGGAAGACGACUACUAGGAAGUUCUCACUUCCUAGCCAUCCUGCUCCAGAGUGAACUGUGGCCCCUGCCCCACCUUUCUGGCGCUCAUAUCUGAUCUUGAAAAGUCAUCUCUGUAUUCUGGGAAAGAGAAAUUACGGCAGCAGGAAAAUGAGAGUUUGGGACAAGCACACACAGACACAGGUCUUAUCUUAGGCUGUGAUCCCUGAAAACAAGCUGCCUGUGGCUCCAAGAAAGAGCAGCCAGAGCCCACAGGGUUCUUCUGGUGAGGUUCUGCCUCUGUAAGAACAAAGUGGUUACAAACCUGAAAAUAUCAACAGCCAAGUACAGGAAAGGAAAUUCAGGAACAAAACCAUCAGGACAGAAGGAAGUGGCGGAGUCCACCGGUUGCAGUCUCAAGGUCAGCAGAUGCAUGAGCCCCUCUCAGCACAGCUAGACAUGGACCACGGAGAAGAAAGGGAGAAUUGUUCGAUGUGAAAGAGUCAAGCAGCAACGUGAAUAAACCUGAAUUUAUUAGAGGUCCGCGUCGUGCGAUGCUGAAAUCAUCUACUUCAGAAGUAGGUGAAACUCAAUCAUUCCUGUAGGCGUGGCGCCUCGUGAAGAAACGGGAAUUUAUUUGCACAGCAAGUUCAAGAACUUGGGUUUAAUCUGCAGCACCACAAACACACACACACACACACACACACACACACACGCGCGCGCACACGCACGUGCACGCACACGCAUACAGCAUGCCACUGUGAUGUAUGCCAGCAUGAAGGUGGUACAUAUGUACCUCUAAGUCUCUGCUCACCAAGUUAAUGCCAAUCUGGGCACAAGUACGCAUAUAAGGCAGAGCUCUGACUGCUCACAGCCAAAGCCAACUCUACUGAAGUUAACAGGAAGGACAUUUCCCUUAAGAACUUCUCAUAAAAACCUCCUAGCAAAUUAGAAAGCAGCUGUCCUGAACACAAGACGACAGCCACUGGAGCCCGGGGUCCUGUCCUUGAGGGCAGAAGUGGGGCCGGUGCCAAGGUUUCUUGUGCUUCUUCUCUAAGCAAAGACAUCAGUGCGGUUAGUUCAGACUGCAGACCUACACGGACCUUCAACAGACAGGGGCAACCGACUGGCUACACAGCUCUCUGCUCUGGAGGAGCAGUGAAUCCGAAUGAUCCUGUGUUGUUCUGCCGCAGGACGUCUCGCUGCUAUUCAAAUUCUGUGCCUUUACCAAGGGAACAAGCUGAGCAAAUGGAAUCUAAGGAAGCCCUGGCACCCACCUGGCCUAGCCUUUCGGGGGUGAGGGGUGGGGAGCAGCAAUGCCUUUCCUGUAACCACCCUAAUCCCCCUAUCAACUAAUUAAUACCCAGAGAAAGCUGUUACUUGCAUGGGAGCAAUUAUACCAAGUUCCUGGUCGGUGUCCAAAUGGACUCACAAUAUAAUUCAUGAACAAUGAGGCUUAGGCAAAGACAUCGUCUAAAGAUGACUUCUAAAACGAAAAGAGUUUGAGAAGCGGACCUUAAAGGACUCUGUUAGUAGCUGGGUGACGGGACAGGAAAUAAAUGCCAUUCAUUUUUUUAAA